AUCCGCGCCACCGCGGCCAGUCUCACCUGGCGGCGCCGCCCGCCCGCCAACCCGGCCACAGCCCCAGCGUCCACGGCGACAGCCGCGGCGACCGCGACAGUGGUGGAGGACGCUGCUGAGUCGAAGAGAGCGCAGCUCGGCCACCGGACCUACUUACUCGCCUUGCUGAUUGUCUGUUUUUACGAGUUUACAACUUUUCUAAGAACUUUUGAUACAAAGGAACUUUUUAAAAAGGCAUCUCCCGUUUAUAUUUAAUCCAAAGAAGGAUCUCGGGCAAUUUUGGGGUUUUUGGUUUUGGCUUCGUUUUUAAGUUUUUUUUUUCCUCUUCGUUGACUUUGGGGUUUGGGUACCCCCACUGCUUCGGACUCCCGAGGACCUUCCGGGCCCCCACAUUAAUGAGGCAGCCACCUGGCGAGUCUGACAUGGCUGUCAGCGACGCACUGCUCCCGUCCUUCUCCACGUUCGCGUCCGGCCCGGCGGGAAGGGAGAAGACACUGCGUCCAGCAGGUGCCCCGAAUAACCGCUGGCGGGAGGAGCUCUCCCACAUGAAGCGACUUCCCCCGGUGCUUCCCGGCCGCCCCUAUGACCUGGCGGCCGCGACCGUGGCCAC